CCCGCCACCCGCCGGCCCUUCCCUUUCACUCAGCGGAGCCACUGAGAGGGACGGGUGCCGGCCAUGGAGCGCACAGCAGGCAAAGAGCUGGCCCUGGCACCGCUGCAGGACUGGGGGGAAGAGACCGAGGACGGCGCGGUGUACAGUGUCUCCCUGCGGCGACAGCGCAGUCAGCGCUUGAGCCCGGCGGAGGGCACCGCGGGCAGCCAGGCCCCCAGCCCCAUUGCCAACACCUUCCUCCACUAUCGAACCAGCAAGGUGAGGGUGCUGAGGGCGGCGCGCCUGGAGCGGCUGGUGGGAGAGUUGGUGUCUGGAGACCAUGAGCAGGACCCCAGCUUUGUGCCUGCCUUCCUGGCCACCUACCGGACCUUUGUACCCACUGCCCACCUGCUGGGCUUUCUGCUGCCACCAAUGCCGCCGCCCCCACCUCCUGGGGUAGAGAUCAAGAAGACAGCGGUACAAGAUCUGAGCUUCAACAAGAACCUGAGGGCUGUGGUGUCAGUGCUGGGCUCCUGGCUGCAGGACCACCCUCAGGAUUUCCGAGACCCCCCUGCCCACUCAGACCUGGGCAGUGUCCGAACCUUUCUGGGCUGGGCGGCCCCAGGGAGCGCUGAGGCUCGAAAAGCAGAGAAGCUUCUGGAAGAUUUUUUGGAGGAGGCUAAGCGAGAGCAGGAAGAGGAGCCACCUCAGGUGUGGACAGGACCUCCCAGAGUUGCCCAAACUUCUGACCCAGACUCUGCAGAGGCCUGCGCGGAGGAAGAGGAAGGACUCAUGCCUCAAGCUCCCCAGCUCCUGGACUUCAGCGUGGACGUGGUGGCCGAGCAGCUGACCCUCAUGGACUUGGAGCUCUUCUCCAAGGUGAGGCCCUACGAGUGCCUGGGCUCCGUGUGGUCGCAGAGGGACCGGCCCGGGGCUGCAGGCGCCUCCCCCACUGUGCGCGCCACCGUGGCCCAGUUCAACACAGUGACCGGCUGUGUGCUGGGUUCCGUGCUCGGAGCGCCGGGCUUGACCGCCCCGCAGAGGGCGCAGCGGCUGGAGAAGUGGAUCCGCAUCGCCCAGCGCUGCCGAGAACUGCGGAACUUCUCCUCCUUGCGCGCCAUCCUGUCCGCCCUGCAAUCUAACCCCAUCUACCGGCUCAAGCGCAGCUGGGGGGCCGUAAGCCGGGAACCGCUAUCUACUUUCAGGAAACUUUCGCAGAUUUUCUCCGAUGAGAACAACCACCUCAGCAGUAGAGAGAUUCUUUUCCAGGAGGAGGCCACUGAGGGAUCCCAAAAAGAGGACAACACCCCAGGCAGCCUGCCCUCGAAACCACCCCCAGGCCCUGUCCCCUACCUUGGCACCUUCCUCACGGACCUGGUUAUGCUGGACACAGCCCUGCCGGAUAUGUUGGAGGGGGAUCUCAUUAACUUUGAGAAGAGGAGGAAGGAGUGGGAGAUCCUGGCCCGCAUCCAGCAGCUGCAGAGGCGCUGUCAGAGCUACACCCUGAGCCCCCACCCGCCCAUCCUGGCUGCCCUGCAUGCCCAGCGCCAGCUCAGUGAGGAGCAGAGCUACCGGCUCUCCCGGGUCAUUGAGCCACCAGCUGCCUCUUGCCCCAGCUCCCCACGAAUCCAACGGCGGAUCAGCCUCACCAAGCGUCUCAGUGCGAAGCUUUCCCGAGAGAAAAGCUCAUUCCCUAGUUGGAGUCCCGGGAACCCCUCAUCCCCCACCUCCAGUGUGUCCCCAGGGUCUCCCCCCUCAAGUCCCAGAAGCAGAGAUGCUCCUGCUGGCAGUCCCCCGGCCUCUCCAGGGCCCCAGGGCCCCAGCACCAAGCCCUCAGCAUCUGCAGAUGAGCCAAGUUGUAGCCUCCAUCCCUUACUGCCUGCAGCUGCCCCUGAGCCCGGACCUGCCCAGACCUGGCCCUUUGCCUCUGGGCAGCCCUCGAAUCCCCCUCCCGGCGCAGCAGAGCUCGGAGGCCCGUGUCAUCCGCAUCAGCAUCGACAAUGACCACGGGAACCUGUAUCGAAGCAUCUUGCUGACCAGUCAGGACAAAGCCCCCAGCGUGGUCCAGCGAGCCUUGCAGAAGCACAAUGUACCCCAGCCCUGGGCCCGUGAUUAUCAGCUCUUUCAAGUCCUUCCUGGGGACAGGGAGCUCCUGAUUCCUGACAAUGCCAACGUCUUCUAUGCCAUGAGUCCAGCCGCCCCCGGAGACUUCAUGCUACGGCGGAAAGAGGGGACCCGGCACACUCUGUCUGUCUCCCCGACCUGAGGCAGCUGUGUCCUCCCCGCAAGACACAAGUCCCACAGGCAAGCUUGUGACUCCUCUCCUGGAAAGCCCCCAACUGAAGCUACUAUACUCUGUAUCCCGGGACCACCCCCCAACUGUAGCCCAUUGGACCCCAUCUCUUUUCAUGACCCUGUUGGUACUAGAUCCAUAUUCCAAAGACAUCAGCCCAUGGGUGGCUGGUGGACAGCUCAAUCUCAUAAAUAUAGAAAGGGGUGGGGCAUGGGUACGUCAGAUCCCUCCCCAGAGAAAUGUUACAAAUGUUGGAGAUGCAUCAGAAGUGACAGAUGCAGAUGAAAAUAGUCACCAGAGUUAUGAAA